rnacentral:rRNA from 1 species
GAUGAACGCUAGCGGCAGGCCUAAUACAUGCAAGUCGAACGGUGGGUAGCAAUACUCAUAGUGGCGCACGGGUGCGUAACACGUAACUAACCUACCCAUCAUUGGGGGAGUAGCCCGCCGAAAGGCGGAUUAAUACCGCAUAAGACUAUAGAGGGGCAUCCCUUAGUAGUUAAAGAUUAUUGAUGAUGGAUGGGGUUGGCGGGUCAUUAGCUAGUUGGUUGGGUAACGGCUGACCAAGGCGACGAUGACUA